GAUGAACGCUAGCUACAGGCUUAACACAUGCAAGUCGAGGGGAAACGACAUCGAAAGCUUGCUUUUGAUGGGCGUCGACCGGCGCACGGGUGAGUAACGCGUAUCCAACCUGCCCAUCACUUGGGGAUAACCUUGCGAAAGUAAGACUAAUACCCAAUGAUAUCUCUAGAAGACAUCUGAAAGAGAUUAAAGAUUUAUCGGUGAUGGAUGGGGAUGCGUCUGAUUAGCUCGUUGGCGGGGUAACGGCCCACCAAGGCAACGAUCAGUAGGGGUUCUGAGAGGAAGGUCCCCCACAUUGGAACUGAGACACGGUCCAAACUCCUACGGGAGGCAGCAGUGAGGAAUAUUGGUCAAUGGGCGAGAGCCUGAACCAGCCAAGUAGCGUGCAGGAAGACGGCCCUAUGGGUUGUAAACUGCUUUUAUAAGGGAAUAAAGUGAGAGUCGUGACUCUUUUUGUAUGUACCUUAUGAAUAAGGACCGGCUAAUUCCGUG
rnacentral:rRNA from 1 species